rnacentral:rRNA from 1 species
GCGAAGGCCGGGCCAGCGGCCGCGGGAAGACGGAGGGUGCGAGCGUGUAUCGGAAGUACGUGGCGUAAGGCGUGCGCAGGCGGUUUGUUAAGCGAGAUGUGAAAGCCCUGGGCUCAACCUAGGAAUAGCAUUUCGAACUGGCGAACUAGAGUCUGGUAGAGGGGGGUAGAAUUCCAGGUGUAGCGGUGAAAUGCGUAGAGAUCUGGAGGAAUACCGGGGGCGAAGGCGGCCCCCUGGACAAAGACUGACGCUCAUGCACGAAAGCGUGGGGAGCAAACAGGAUUAGAUACCCGAGUAGUC